UACGAAGGGGGCUAGCGUUGUUCGGAUUUACUGGGCGUAAAGCGCACGUAGGCGGAUUUUAAGUCAGGGGUGAAAUCCCGGGGCUCAACCCCGGAACUGCCUUUGAUACUGGAAGUCUUGAGUAUGGUAGAGGUGAGUGGAAUUCCGAGUGUAGAGGUGAAAUUCGUAGAUAUUCGGAGGAACACCAGUGGCGAAGGCGGCGUCACUGGACCAC
rnacentral:rRNA from 1 species